CCUACGGUUGAUUGGCGUAAAAAUUUUUUUCUACGUCCCUGUUUGGACGAUUUGAGUCAAAUCAAUCCUUCCAAACGAACUCCUUUGUUGGUGUCAUUCUUCUCGUCCAUCAUCGCAUCUAUAAUGGAUCAGAUUAAUCGAGGACGUUUGACGUUUCGUUGUAGAUUAGACGAGUGCUUUGAUGAACGAUUAAAAAGAUAUUAGCUUUCAAUAGGAAAAAAAUCACUCAUUGGUUCUGUAAUUAUAUACUGUAAUAAGUAACGGGCGAUCAAAAAUGAGUUGCUGUCGAGUCGCCUUCGGAUAUUCAAUUUAAGUAUGAUUUCCCAUUUAAACAAAAAUUCCAAAGAUUCAAAGCACACUUUCUACCCCUUUGGGUUUAGAUGUAAACUUCAUUGGUGCACACUCCAAGGGAGAAAUUGAAGAACAACACAGCUGCAGUGAGGAAAGCAGUUGGAAAUGUAUAGAAAAUGAACACUCGACCAUAAUAAAUUAUCCAGUCUAUCGAGCGCAUGCUGUGUUGCUAUGUAAAUUAAUGCAUUUUUGCGUUUUCAGGUUGUGACGCAUAGAUCUGGCAAUAAACAUGAACCAAUAAACGUAUCUAUCUAAUUACUGUUUCACCCAAGUAACCAGUUUAGAUGUGCAUAAUGAACAAUUUGCAAUUGUGCAAUUAAUGAACUACGCAUGGGCCGUGGAUUAAUUAGUACCUACCUAAGGCAUCGGUUUGCGGUAAGUUACAUUGAAAUCCGUUAAUACCUUUGCUUCAGACAAAGCGAAUUGCACUACGUGCUACGUUUGAAAAAGUUGAGAGACUAGGUUACGAAAUGGACGAAGACCAGUAACAAGAAGACCAGUGGAAUUGAGGACUGCUGGGAGAUCUCAAACUGAAGAACAAUAAAUUCUUGUAAUUAACUGAAAAAUACAUACAUGCGAUAUUA